rnacentral:tRNA from 1 species
GAGGAUUUAGCUUAAUUAAAGUGUUUGAUUUGCGUUCAGAAGAUGCGAGAUAAGUUCUUGUAGUCCUUA